rnacentral:lncRNA from 1 species
GCCACCAUGAGCUACUUCCUGUCAGUGUGCUGGGGGUCCUCAGCAAGUCCAUGCUUGCUGCACAUCUCAGCUGCUGUGGGGACAGCACAGGGAGAGGGCAAGCUGCCCAGUACCCAAGAUGGCCAGGCCUCUAUGAGGGUGUACCUUGGGCUACCUUGGCAGCUACCUGCUAUUUUAGAUGCCCACCUCCACACAAACAUUGGGAGCCUCUCAUCUAUCCAGGACACUUUGUUACUUGGUAGAGAAGAACACACAGUUCAAGACAUUGCCGCUGCUGCAGGAGAGACAA